GGGAAGCCACGCCCUUCUCUGCCGGCGUGACGUCAUCGCGCACGCACGCACGCACGCACGGGGGCGUGGCCUCGUGACACAGCAGCGCCACUACGGAGGCCGGGAGGGGUCAAAAAGGACGCGGGGCCCACGAGGCCCUAUAGGGCCCUAUAGGGGGCGGGGGGGGAGGGGGUCCUGGAGGCGGCUUUUAGGGCUUUAUAGGGCCCUAUGGGGCCUUAGAGCUGCCCUAUAGGGGCCGAAGGACCCCAUAAAGUUGAGCAAGAGGGGCCAUAUGGGGGUCUGUAGGUGCCCUAUAGGGGCUUAUAGGGUGCCCCAUAGGGGCCCUAUUGGUAUCUACAGCGAUCCUAAAGCUAUGGGGUCUUGCAGAUGCCAUAUAGGGACCCCAAAGAGGCUGAUAGAGGGCUAUAGGAACCUGAAACGACCCUAUAGGUGUCUAUGGGUACCUUAAAGCAGCCUUUGGGGCCUUUGGGGUGGGAUUCGGGGUCUCUGUGGGGUCUAUGGGGUGGGAUUUGAGGUCUAUAUGGGAUCCUGGGGUCUAUGGGGGGGGAUUUGAGGUCUAUAUGGGGUCUAUGGGGUCGGAUUUGGGGUCUAUACGGGAUCUAUACGGGAUUUGGGGUCUAUGGGGAGGGCUUUGAGGUCUAUAUGGGGUGUAUGGGGUGGGCUUUGAGGUCUGUAUGGGGUCUAUGGGGUCGGAUUUGGGGUCUAUAUGGGGUCUAUGGGGUGGGAUUUGAGGUCUAUAUGGGAUCCUGGGGUCUAUGGGGUGGGAUUCGGGGUCCAUAUGGGGAACUAUGGGAGUCUAUGGGGUGGGAUUUGAGGUCUAUAUGGGGUCUAUGGGGUGGGAUUUGGGGUCUAUAUGGGGUCUAUGGGGUGGGAUUUGAGGUCUAUAUGGGAUCCUGGGGUCUAUGGGGUAGGAUUCGGGGUCCAUAUGGGGAACUAUGGGAGUCUAUGGGGUGGGAUUUGAGGUCUAUAUGGGGUCUAUGGGGUCGGAUUUGGGGUCUAUAUGGGGUCUAUGGGGUGGGAUUUGAGGUCUAUAUGGGAUCCUGGGGUCUAUGGGGUGGGAUUCGGG
ensembl:lncRNA